GUAGUGACUUACAGAACCUUGAACUGGAAACUCGUUCAAAUUGAAAGUACCAAACAGUAUGGUACUCUAUAAUAUUAUUAUAUUGCGAUAAUUUGUAAAUUGAUCUUACAAAGAGACAGUAAAACGAGUUUGAUUGCAUCUACAAUUAUGGAAAAACAGUCUUACACGAUGAUAAGGUUUAUCAUCCUGGUAUUCGUUUUGAUCAAUAAAAUCUUAUCGUGCGACGCCGUUUUUGAUGACGAGCUCCCAGAAUUCUACUUUGGAGAGGCGUCUGCGAUUCACCCGAUGGGCCAUUUUGAAUCGACAGAGUUAGACGUACCAUCGAUGCAUUGGCAGCAUCCCAAACCUGGAGAAAUCAUGGAGUAAUUAACGAAUCCACAUGCAUAAAUUUUUGAGUCUUUUAUUACUUUUUCCAUAUAAAGACGUAGACAAUCAGACUUUUAUAAAAUUACUCGUCACUCCCGGAAAUAUUCAAUGGAUAAAAAAUAUUACAAACACUGGAAAUAAUAUAU